rnacentral:rRNA from 1 species
GACGUAGGGCGCGAGCGUUGUCCGGAUUUAUUGGGCGUAAAGAGCUCGUAGGCGGCUUGUCGCGUCGAAUGUGAAAACUCGGGGCUCAACUCCGAGCUUGCAUUCGAUACGGGCAGGCUAGAGUUCGGUAGGGGAGACUGGAAUUCCUGGUGUAGCGGUGAAAUGCGCAGAUAUCAGGAGGAACACCGGUGGCGAAGGCGGGUCUCUGGGCCGAUACUGACGCUAAGGAGCGAAAGCGUGGGGAGCGAACAGG